rnacentral:rRNA from 1 species
UCCAGACUCCUACGGGAGGCAGCAGUGGGGAAUAUUGCACAAUGGGGGGAACCCUGAUGCAGCGACGCCGCGUGGGUGAAGGAGCACCUCGGUGCGUAAAGCCCUAUCGGCAGGGAAGAAAAGCGAACAGGUUCGCCUGGACGGUACCUGACUAAGAAGCCCCGGCUAACUACGUGCCAGCAGCCGCGGUAAAACGUAGGGUGCAAGCGUUGUCCGGAAUUACUGGGUGUAAAGGGAGCGCAGGCGGAUUGACAAGUUGGGAGUGAAAACUACGGGCUCAACCCGUAACCUGCUUUCAAAACUGUCAGUCUUGAGUGGUGUAGAGGUAGGCGGAAUUCCCGGUGUAGCGGUGGAAUGCGUAGAUAUCGGGAGGAACACCAGUGGCGAAGGCGGCCUACUGGGCACUAACUGACGCUGAGGCUCGAAAGCAUGGGUAGCAAACAGGAUUAGAUACCCUCGUACCC